UUUCUAUUUUUUUUGCUUUUUAGAUUUUGUGGCUUUUUUCAAAUGGGGGUAGUCAUAGCCUUGGCUGAAAUUGGAAGUAAUCAGUCUCCAAGCCACGCUCCAAGCCUCAUAAAGGUUGGGAAGAAGAUGGACCUAAAGGGUUACCACACGUGUUAAGGUUGUAACCAAACCCCAUGGAAUUUUUAUUCUAGCAACCUCAUUCACACUCCUCCUCCCUGUUUUACCUUCGUAUCAACCUACAUAAAUUCGAUGGGGAUGGC
rnacentral:lncRNA from 1 species